rnacentral:lncRNA from 1 species
GCUAACUAUUUUGUCUUUAUUGCUCACUUUUCAGUGGGACCCAUGGUCCUGGGUUUGAGAGACAAUGCCCUGUGUGGUAGGCAUUCCUCUCCCCUUUCCUACCAUGUUCCCACCCUUGGUGAGUUAGACCUUCUCCUAAGAGACAGGUGUCUCUCCUCUAGGAAGUCACCUUUUGAGGACAUUUGACACCAUUGGAGCUCUGGCUGUCUUAACCCUCUAUCUUCUUCCCUCAUAGUCUCUUGUGACCGAGUGAAGACUGGGGCUCAGAGCUCUCUUGGAUUUGACACAGCUCCUUGUUCCUUCCUGCUUCCGAGGAGGAUUCACAUGAGUGGAAGCAGCUCCUGGUAGAAAUGGUCCCUCAUCACGCCAUCUGCAAUUCCGUGAAGGACUAUCCAAUAGUCAAGGUAUGGAACCGUCAACAUAUGAAUGGAUGAAGAGAAUGUGGUCUACGUGCACAACAGAAUCAUAUUCAGCCAUAAAGAAGAACAAAAUAGUGCCAUUUACAGGAAAAUGGGGGAGAACUGGAGAGUGUCCUACUAAGUGAAAUAACUUGAGCCUGGCAGGAUCAGACAGGUCCUGGCUAUGGGAAACACCAAAGUUCUCCUCCUCAGCUCUGAUGCUCUGGCCAGUUCCGGCUCAACUUAUUUCAGAGGAAAUCCAGACAACUGUGACCAGGCAUGGUCAUAAAGGCUUCAGGCAACCACAAGGCAUACAGUGACCUUGCUUUGACUUUAGGGCACCACAGAGCAUGAGAAGAAUGGUAUGGAUAUAGAACUUUCAGCUACCAUGUCUGCCUGCAUGCCACCAUGCUCCCUGCCAUGAAGAUAAUGGGAGAAACCUCUGAAACUGAAAAUCAAAGCAACUAUAUCAACUGCAUGAGACCCUCAGGAGAUCGGACCUAUAAAUGUACCUUCCCAAGAGUUGGAUGGUCCUAAUCCCCUUACCUGAAAUUCCAGGCACAAGCUCCCUCCAGCCAUCUCUCCUGGAGUGUUAGGGUAUACAGGAGAUGGAAGACACCAAUGAUGCAGUUUUCCUGAGUCAUCACCCAUUCUGGAGUGUGACUCUUAGGUGAAGUCAUUAACUUCAAUGCCCAUGUUCCUGGAUGGAACGCCUGACUCACAUUCCUCCACAUCACUCCAAUAAACUCACUGUUUCACAUGCUGGACCUGGAUGGAAUCAUUUACAUAGCAUUUUUGUUGUUGUUGUUCUCUCUGGGGUGAAACAGACUCCCCAGGAAAUGUUAAGCAACAGAUGUGGUCAGGCCUCUCAUGACCAGGGCACUUGAGAAAGACGGAUGCUUCGGGCUCUGGAGGGACUGCUUGUCACCAGAACACAUGGGGGAGGGUUUACAGAGGAUCAGCUCUGUGACACUAAUGAAGGCCAAGUG